ACCCGCUGAACUUAAGCAUAUCAAUAAGCGGAGGAAAAGAAGCUAACAAGGAUUCCCCUAGUAACUGCGAGUGAAGCGGGAAAAGCUCAAAUUUAAAAUCUGAUGGUCCUUGCGGCUGUCCGAGUUGUAAUUUAGAGAAGUGUUAUCCGCGCUGGACCGUGUAUAAGUCUCCUGGAACGGAGCGUCGUAGAGGGUGAGAAUCCCGUAUAUGACACGGACUACCAGGGCUUUGUGAUGCGCUCUCAAAGAGUCGAGUUGUUUGGGAUUGCAGCUCAAAAUGGGUGGUAAAUUCCAUCUAAAGCUAAAUAUAGGCGAGAGACCGAUAGCGAACAAGUACCGUGAGGGAAAGAUGAAAAGAACUUUGGAAAGAGAGUUAAACAGUACGUGAAAUUGUUGAAAAGGAAACGCUUGAAGUCAGUCGCGUUGGCCAGGGAUCAACUUAGCUUCUGCUGAGAGCACUUUCUGGUUAACGGGUCAGCAUCAAUUUUGAUUGUUGGAUAAAGGUCAGUGGAAUGUGGCAUCUUCGGAUGUGUUAUAGCCAUUGGUUCGUAUACAACGGUUGGGAUUGAGGAACUCAGCACGCCGCAAGGCCGGGUAUUCGUACCACGUACGUGCUUAGGAUGCUGGCAUAAUGGCUUUAAUCGACCCGUCUUGAAACACGG
rnacentral:rRNA from 1 species